rnacentral:rRNA from 1 species
GCUUAGCCAUAAACCUAGAUAGUCCUAAAACCAACUAUCCGCCAGAGGAUUACAAGCGAAAAGCUUAAAACUCAAAGGACUUGACGGUGUCCCACACCAACCUAGAGGAGCCUGUCCUAUAAUCGAUAACCCACGUUAAACCUCACCUGCCCUAGCACCACCCCAGUCUAUAUACCGCCGUCUCCAGCCUACCUAAUGAUAGAAACAUAGUAAGCAAACCAGCUAACACGCUAAAACGUCAGGUCAAGGUGUAACUAAUGAGCAGGCAGAGAUGGGCUACAUUUUCUAAGCUAGACCACCACCAGCAGCAACAUGCAAACGAGCCUACAAGGAGGAUUUAGAAGUAAGUUAGGACCCAGGUAUGCCCAACUGAAACCAGCCCUGGGACGCGU